GUGAGUGGGGGAAAACAUCUAGGAAUCAUAGUGACUUUUAGAACUGCUAUGAUCUUCUGGUCAGAAAGAAAAGACUUAUUGUUCUCUUCAGCCACUGGUUACUUCAUGCCUAUGGAAUAAUCUCCAUUUCCAGAGUGGAUAAACUUGAGCAAGAUUUGCCCCUUUUGGCUUUGGUACCUACACCAGCCCUUUUUUACUUGUUCACUGCAAAAUUUACCGAACCUUCAAGGAUACUCUCAGAAGGAGCCAAUGGACACUGAGUGUAGACAUGUGAAAUGCCAAAAACCUGAGAAGUGCUCCUAAUAAAAAAGUAAAUCAAUCUUAACAGUGUAUGAGAACUAUUCUAUCAUAUAUGGGAACAAGAUUGUCAGUAUAUCUUAAUGUUUGGGUUUGUCUUUGUUUUGUUUAUGGUUAGACUUACAGACUUGGAAAAUGCAAAACUCUGUAAUACUCUGUUACACAGGGUAAUAUUAUCUGCUACACUGGAAGGCCGCUAGGAAGCCCUUGCUUCUCUCAACAGUUCAGCUGUUCUUUAGGGCAAAAUCAUGUUUCUGUGUACCUAGCAAUGUGUUCCCAUUUUAUUAAGAAAAGCUUUAACACGUGUAAUCUGCAGUCCUUAACAGUGGCGUAAUUGUACUUACCUGUUGUGUUUCAGUUUGUUUUUCACCUAUAAUGAAUUGUAAAAACAAACAUACUUGUGGGGUCUGAUAGCAAACAUAGAAAUGAUGUAUAUUGUUUUUUGUUAUCUAUUUAUUUUCAUCAAUACAGUAUUUUGAUGUAUUGCAAAAAUAGAUAAUAAUUUAUAUAACAGGUUUUCUGUUUAUAGAUUGGUUCAAGAUUUGUUUGGAUUAUUGUUCCUGUAAAGAAAACAAUAAUAAAAAGCUUACCUACAUAAAAUUUCAAUGUUUUGACACUUAAUUGUUGUUUGGCACAAUAGUAUGGAAGUAAUUCAAACUGGUAAAUAGUUUCCUCUCAUAUCUCGGGUAUAUAUACAUACCAUAUUUUAUUGAUCCAGAGAUACUUAUUUCACUUUGUGACAUCUCUGAAUUAGGAUGCAUCUUACAACUGAUGGCUUAUUAGAUUUAAUGAAAUACAGAAGAUACACAGAAUAAAAAGGGUUUUCCUGUGGUUGGUUUGUGGUUUGUGAUAGGUGUUCUGUGAUGUUUAUGCUUUGAAGGCCUUAAGACUCAUGGUUGCAACCAUGGAAGCAAAAUGAAAUUUUUAGCUCUUAACCUAACAACCUGACCAUGUUUAUCCAUUUUUAUUGUUUAGAAGUUUAUUUACUGAUACUUGGUGGAGGUUGUGUGAAUUAGUUAAAUUUUAAAUGUUUAAGACUUCUAUUAACAGCUGCAAAAUAUGAAAGUAAGUGCACUCACUUUUCCUGUAGUAGUCUGUCUUUUGAAUUCACAGCAGUUGUAUCCUUGAGUUACUUUGUUAAUGUAUUUUUCUCAGUACAUUUAACCACUGGGAAAUGAACCCUUGUACGAAUGUGUUUCUUCUUCUCUGUA
rnacentral:lncRNA from 1 species